rnacentral:rRNA from 1 species
UACGAAGGGUGCUAGCGUUGUUCGGAAUUACUGGGCGUAAAGAGCGCGUAGGCGGUUAUACAAGUCAGGGGUGAAAUCCCGGAGCUUAACUCCGGAACUGCCUUUGAAACUGUAUAGCUGGAGUGUGUGAGGGGAUAGCGGAAUUCCUAAUGUAGAGGUGAAAUUCGUAGAUAUUAGGAGGAACACCGGUGGCGAAGGCGGCUAUCUGGCGCACAACUGACGCUGAGGCGCGAAAGCGUGGGGAUCAAACAGG